AUCCAAACAUUGAUAGAUGAGUGCAAGGACUUGUUGAUCCUUCUUCUUUGUUUUUGCAAAACAUCCUUCUCAUUUUGCAUUAAGGACGCUUCAUUUUUGGGUGGAGUAAAAAGCUUGUGUUUACAAUAUCCCACACAAGCAAACUUAAUGUGAUAGGGCCCUCAGAGCAUGCAAAAUAACCAAAAUUGCUGAUGCAAUUAAAAAAGAUCAUCGGCACUACCAUGAGAAACAAAACUACAAUAAACAAGCAAACCAUGAGUAUUUACGGUUUCUUAACAUUUUUAGAGCACAUGCUAUAUAUAUCUAACCAUUUCAGAUUCUCUCCUCACUCUAACUCUAGCUAG
rnacentral:lncRNA from 1 species